rnacentral:rRNA from 1 species
GAUGAACGCUGGCGGCGUGCCUAAUACAUGCAAGUCGAGCGAAUGGAUUAAGAGCUUGCUCUUAUGAAGUUAGCGGCGGACGGGUGAGUAACACGUGGGUAACCUGCCCAUAAGACUGGGAUAACCCCGGGAAACCGGGGCUAAUACCGGAUAACAUUUUGAACCGCAUGGUUCGAACUUGAAAGGCGGCUUCGGCUGUCACUUAUGGAUGUACCCGCGUCGCAUUAGCUAGUUGGGGAGGUAACGGCUCACCAAGGCAACGAUGCGUAGCCGACCUGAGAGGGUGAUCGGCCACACUGGGACUGAGACACGGCCCAGACUCCUACGGGAGGCAGCAGUAGGGAAUCUUCCGCAAUGGACGAAAGUCUGACGGAGCAACGCCGCGUGAGUGAUGAAGGCUUUCGGGUCGUAAACUCUGUUGUUAGGGAAGAACAAGUGCUAGUUGAAUAAGCUGGCACCUUGACGGUACCUAACCAGAAAGCCACGGCUAACUACGUGCCAGCCGCCGCGGUAA